rnacentral:rRNA from 1 species
AUUGAACGCUGGCGGCAUGCCUUACACAUGCAAGUCGAACGGUAACGGGCCUUCGGGUGCCGACGAGUGGCGAACGGGUGAGUAAUGUAUCGGAACGUACCUUUCAGUGGGGGAUAACGUAGCGAAAGUUACGCUAAUACCGCAUAUUCUGUGAGCAGGAAAGCAGGGGAUCGCAAGACCUUGCGCUGCUUGAGCGGCCGAUAUCAGAUUAGCUCGCUGGUGAGGUAAAGGCUCACCAAGGCGACGAUCUGUAGCGGGUCUGAGAGGAUGAUCCGCCACACUGGAACUGAGACACGGUCCAGACUCCUACGGGAGGCAGCAGUGGGGAAUUUUGGACAAUGGGGGCAACCCUGAUCCAGCCAUGCCGCGUGAGUGAAGAAGGCCUUCGGGUUGUAAAGCUCUUUCGGCCGGGAAGAAAUCGUAUCAGCUAAUACCUGGUGCGGAUGACGGUACCGGCAUAAGAAGCACCGGCUAACUACGUGCCAGCCGCCGCGGUAAGAC